UCACUCACUGGUGUUGGCUGCACAUCCUUACUUAGGCUGAGCUCCUCUCUGUUGAGCUGCUUCCUUCUGCUCACUUGUGAAACUGAAAGGAAUAAACCUGUGGAAUGUUCCGACAAGCAGCAAAUUACCACGGAGGAAGCGUCUGAGAAUCCUGAAGAAGGAAAAUGGAAUGAAACUCAUCUCCUUGAUGCUCGUAUCAGAAUGGCUAAAACUCCCUCUUGUUUUGCCCCCUUCAGAUACUGGAAGACUACAAUAUGGUAUCCUCGGAGUGUUCUCUCUUCACCAAGCUGAAGACCUGAGUGAACUCAUCAGAGAAUUAGGUUGAUUGAAAAUGCAAUGUGCAUGAAAGCAGCCUCCUUGCUGUGUACUCAAAGGUUUAAAAAACACCUGAGUGAAAGUCUUUAGCCCUGUGGUGCUGGUAUGGUGCAGUGUUCUUGAAGCAUGAGCAAAAUGAAAAAAAACCCUCUUGAAAAAAUUGGUGCCUGAAUUUGGAGGAGCUCUGACACCUCUCUACAGCUGCCUUUCUCUUAGCUGAGAAUUCUUGCCAUGGCCUUGUGGGUGGCCACUGCAAACUGUCAGAGAUACAGUGAAUAUACCUGAAUGACCUGCUGUCAAAAAGAGACAACAGUUUUAUCACUGAUGAUCUGGAACUGACUGGCAGAGAUCACUACCAUCAUAAUAAGGGACUUACUACUUUGCAUAACAUUCUUCUUGCAGUGAUUUGUAUUACUUGAACUUGCUUGCAAGCCUCACCUAAUCAAAUACUUUGGGUCUUCAGGUCUCUGUGGGAUGUAUUCAGGGGUUAAAGUUCUAGUGUGGUUUGCAUCUCAAUAUUCCAGAGCAGAGAGUGGUCCCCCUGUCAAAUCAGUGAGAAAUAAUACCUAAUUCUAUGACACACAGGUGCUUCUACCCUCAGGCCACUGGUUAAAACCCAGCAUAGUAUCAAGUUCUAUUCUGCUCCAAAGGCUGUUACUAAGUGACAGGUGUCUGGUGGCCUGGGUUUAAUGAACAACCUGGAUCAACACUGUUGUAGUGGAUAGGUGCUGUGAGCAGGUAGGAGCUAUAUGGCAGUUGGUGACUGCCAGCUGAUGCCCCACUCACAGCAGAAGCGCAGAGCGUCUAAACGUCUCUGGAGAGUAAACUGAGGUUUCAACCCCUGUGUUUCCUUAGAGGGACAGGCUUCUUUGCCCAUACCUUGUUUAUCUUAACUCCUUUUCUGAAGACUUUCUACUGGGCAUUUCAUGAAAGCACGGAACAGAUUUGGAAAGAAAACAUUUGUGUUUCCCCAACACAUGCUGAGAAACAAUUGUCUUGUUGCCUUUAUGCAGUUCACCAGAUGUAGCUAAAAGGCUGCAAUUACUUUGUGCCACGCAGGAACAAUAUAGGGCAUUUCUGUUUACAGGGAGCUUUGACAACUGCUUAGUGCUUCCCCAAAGAAAUCCUCCUUGCAUGUUGUUUUGCUAGUUUGAAGCAGGGUAGAAUGCUUUGGUGAGAACUAGAUCACAGGCUGUGAAAGGAAAACAAUGGUGAUGUCUGCUUCCCUCAGAGUCUCGCUGAGGAGUUUGGGAAGGAGAAAUGAAAGCAUUAGAUAACACUCUCACUGUUUUCUCUCGCUUGAGCUGCUGACUGAGCAACAUCUUAGUCCCUAACCUCACCUUCCAUUUGGCCUAACCCACUUUGCUUCUUAACCUCUUGGCCGAAACUCUGUUCUU